rnacentral:rRNA from 1 species
GAUGAACGCUGGCGGCGUGCCUAAUACAUGCAAGUCGAACGAAACUUCUUUAUCACCGAGUGCUUGCACUCACCGAUAAAGAGUUGAGUGGCGAACGGGUGAGUAACACGUGGGCAACCUGCCCAAAAGAGGGGGAUAACACUUGGAAACAGGUGCUAAUACCGCAUAACCAUAGUUACCGCAUGGUAACUAUGUAAAAGGUGGCUAUACUACCGCUUUUGGAUGGGCCCGCGGCGCAUUAGCUAGUUGGUAGGGUAAAGGCUUACCAAGGCAAUGAUGCGUAGCCGAAUUGAGAGGUUGAUCGGCCACAUUGGGACUGAGACACGGCCCAA